UGGGAUGUAGUGUAUGGGUAGCACAGGGAAUUUUGAGUUCUCUAGGUUAGGUUCAAUUCCUACUAUCUCAG
rnacentral:tRNA from 1 species